rnacentral:lncRNA from 1 species
CUCUGUCUCUCUCUCAGAGCUGCAGGAGGACCUGAGGGAAGCCAGGAAGUGCACUGAGGUCCACGAGUCCUACUCCGGUCAGAUACCCUCUAUACACCCACUAGCCCCGCCCACACUGUCCACAACAUAUUAGUCCCGCCCACUCAUUAAUCAUACAGCAAAUUAUCCUCACAUUCUCAUCAAGUCUACAGACUUUUAGCCCCGCCCACUCAGCAGUGUGUGUUUUGUGUGUUACAGAACUACAGGAUAAGUAUGAUAAAGAAGUUUCGAAACUGAGUAAUAACUUCGCUCGUCAGGUUUUAACGAUUAAAACUCUGUCGGACGAGGUGAGCCUCCUGAAAAGCAAGCUCAGCGUGGCAACUGGCAACACUGACGCGCUGGAGGCGGAGCUGAAGAAGAAGAGUGGAGAUCUGAUGAAGGUGAUGAAGGAGCUGGAAAAGUCUAAAGUAGACUCAUCUGAAAGUAAGGGACCUUUACAUCAAUAAAUAAUCAAUACACCACUAAUAAAACACUAAUAAUUCAC